rnacentral:rRNA from 1 species
UAGGGAAUCUUCCGCAAUGGACGAAAGUCUGACGGAGCAACGCCGCGUGAGUGAAGAAGGUCUUCGGAUUGUAAAGCUCUGUUAUUAGGGACGAAUGUGCUUGCUGUAAAUAAUGGCAAGUAAUGACGGUACCUGAAGAGGAAGCCACGGCUAACUACGUGCCAGCAGCCGCGGUAAUACGUAGGAUCCAGGCGUUAUCCGGAUUUAUUGGGUUUAAAGGGUGCGCAGGCGGACUAAUAAGUCAGUGGUGAAAUCUACAUGCUUAACAUGUAAUGUGCCAUUGAUACUGUUAGACUAGUAUGCAAAUGACGUAGCUGGAAUGUGUUAUGUAGCGGUGAAAUGCUUAGAUAUGACACAGAACACCGAUCGCGAAGGCAGCUCACUAAAUUGUAACUGACGCUCAGGCACGAAAGCGUGGGGAGCAAACA